rnacentral:tRNA from 1 species
GCGGGUGUAGUUCAGUGGUAGAACACUAGCUUCCCAAGCUAGAUAUGGCGGUUCGAUUCCGCUCACCCGCUCCA